rnacentral:rRNA from 1 species
AUGAACGCUAGCGGCAGGCCUAACACAUGCAAGUCGAGGGGGAAGUUACUUUCGGGUGACUGAGACCGGCGUACGGGUGCGUAACGCGUAUACAAUCUGCCUUUCACUGGGGGAUAGCCCGAAGAAAUUUGGAUUAAUACCCCAUAGUAUAUAGGGACGGCAUCGUUUUUAUAUUAAAGCUUAGGUGGUGAAAGAUGAGUAUGCGUUCUAUUAGCUAGUUGGAGAGGUAACGGCUCCCCAAGGCGAUGAUAGAUAGGGGUUCUGAGAGGGAUGUCCCCCACACUGGUACUGAGAUACGGACCAGACUCCUACGGGAGGCAGCAGUGAGGAAUAUUGGACAAUGGUCGGAAGACUGAUCCAGCCAUGCCGCGUGCAGGAUGAAGGUCUUAUGGAUUGUAAACUGCUUUUGUAAGGGAAGAAUAAGGGCUACGCGUAGUUUGAUGACGGUACCUUACGAAUAAGCAUCGGCUAACUCCGU